rnacentral:lncRNA from 1 species
CGCCUCGGUAGUUAGGGAGGGGCGGGCUGCAUCCCUGAUGGUAGGACCCCCUGGUCUGUUAAGGACGCCAAACGAAGUGCCGCCAAGGCAUUGCCAAAGGGCACCGUCGGUGAGAUACACCGUGUCUUCCGAGCUGCUCAAGUGGGAAAAGAAAAAAUGCCUUAGAUUGCUGGCCAUCUUGCCCUCCCUGGAGGAGAGCCUGGCUGAGGAGCUGGCCAGGUUCCGGAGGAGAGCUGCUGACUCUCCAUACGCCGCGGCGUCUUCUCUCGUGGCCCAGAAACACUCGCUGGGAGGCCGCUGGCUGGAGUUCUGGAGGCUUCUGAAACAGACCCGGCCUCCCCCACGUCUUGCUGAAAGAUGCUUGAGUGCCUGCCCACUAUGUGCCAGCAGCAGUGCCGCCAGCAGGAGGAAUGCCAUGCUUUCAGAAUGGUCACUUUUCAUUUUGGUGCAAAUACCACCUUCUACUACUGGCAGUGCAAGGAAACAGAAAGUAGAUCUUUGAAACAUGUGGCCACCAGAGGGAGCACUAAACACAGAAGUCCAGAUGUGUCUCCCUCCUUGCCUUGGAGAUCUGCCCCAACCUGGCUCUCCAGCCACACCGCCAUCCAUCAAAGGUGCCAAGCUCCCAUCAACCUCUGUCCACGUGCUCCCGCCCCAAAACUUUUCCCAACAUUCCUUUUCUUUGGCUUUUAUCUAGAGCUCUUUUAUUUUUAUCCCUCAAUUUAUUUUUAUUUAUUUAUAAUAUUUUAUUUAAAUUCAAUCUCCA